CGCGAACCGAGCUUGCUGUUACGGUCUUACGGACUCAUUCAGCAACAUGAUUGUACAGUGGUAGUGCUUUAGAUGGUAUCAAAAAUUUAAUUUUCAGUAACGUUUAGUAACCUCUCACCUAAGGAUCAAUGAAUGCCGACUUUGAAGUGAACAGACAAUGUACGUCAUAUGGAUGAUUCAUGCUUCUCAUUGCUGAAAGUGUUAAGACAAGACCUGAGUCAGAACGUAACAUAGGAACUUACUUAAGGAGCGUAGCACACCAACGCUGGAGCCUGAAGGUUUCUUCUAUGAAAAAUUUGAGUAUUGGAACUAUUCAGCGUUAGACCUCUGAUUCACAAUUACGCUGGUAACCACAAAACCAAUGAGGCGAUGAACUUCUAUUUAUGAUUAAUGAGUCUUGUCUCGAACUCAUAUCAGCCAGUAUUGAUAGCAAUAAAAAAAAACUUAAAAUAAUAAAUGUAACAGGAAAAUACGCAUAAAUCAUGAAACAUGGUGGUAAUACAGUGAUACAUAUCGAUAAACUUAA
rnacentral:lncRNA from 1 species